GAUGAACGCUGGCGGCGUGCCUAAUACAUGCAAGUCGAGCGAACAGACGAGGAGCUUACUCCUCUGACGUUAGCGGCGGACGGGUGAGUAACACGUGGAUAACCUACCUAUAAGACUGGGAUAACUUCGGGAAACCGGAGCUAAUACCGGAUAACAUGUUGAACCGCAUGGUUCAACAGUGAAAGACGGUCUUGCUGUCACUUAUAGAUGGAUCCGCGUCGCAUUAGCUAGUUGGUAAGGUAACGGCUUACCAAGGCAACGAUGCGUAGCCGACCUGAGAGGGUGAUCGGCCACACUGGAACUGAGACACGGUCCAGACUCCUACGGGAGGCAGCAGUAGGGAAUCUUCCGCAAUGGGCGAAAGCCUGACGGAGCAACGCCGCGUGAGUGAAGAAGGUCUUCGGAUCGUAAAACUCUGUUAUUAGGGAAGAACAAAUGUGUAAGUAACUAUGCACGUCUUGACGGUACCUAACCAGAAAGCCACGGCUAACUACGUG
rnacentral:rRNA from 1 species